CAAAACAAAACAAAACAAAAAAACUAGAGGUAAAAAAAUUCCAUGGCUAAUUCCAACAUAAAGCCAGGGGAUUAGGAAUUCAGAUUGUUAAUCAUCCCUCUUCCCUGACCUGUAUAUGUAUAUUUAUUGUGAAAUUAAAUGAUUAGUGUGCGACAAACUUAUUUAUCAAAUUAUGUUAAAGCAUGAUUGCUAAUCACAUUUCUUAAACACUUAUAGAAAACAACAUAUUUUUUAACGUUAAGUGAAAAACAUGAUACACGCUUUAACAUAAUUUGAGAUAUAAGUCAAUUUAUACACUAGUUACGCAAAUUGGUCCGAACAUCCAGUAAUUAAAAAACAAAAUUGAAUU